UUUUUUGAGAUUUUGGUGUCAAAUCAAAGAGAAAAAAAAUAUGUUUUAAACAUUUUUAUCAGUCGUGUAUAAAUCAGCGUGGUUCUUGAGAAAUAAGCCCUUAAAGUUGUAAUAUUUUAUCUAAGAGAGAUAGAUCCAUGAGACAUUUUUUUUCAAACGUAGCUAAGUCCAUGAGAGCCAAUCAGGUAAUUGCGUUUCUUCAACAUGGCCGCCAGUUGACGAAAACUCAGCGACCAGUGGCACCAUGCGCUCCCGCUUUUUAUUGUUUAUUUCGAUAUUCAGACAGUUCUCAUGGAUAAUUAUAUUAAAAUUGUGUCACCAACUAAAUCCCGCAAGCGGCUUAAUAUAAAAGUUCGCCUUAGGAAAGAGGAAAAAGCGAAAACUCGAAUAUUUUGGACAUAAGUAUGUUUAUGAUAUACCUAAUAUUGAGUACAUUUCUUUCUCCGAUCAAUUUUGUGUAGGUAUGUUCAUGUAAGUUUUAGAAUAUAAGAAUGCUUUGUGGAGUUGGGUCGUCUGGAUAUGUUUUGCAGUUUUUUGCUAAAUAUAAUAAAUUUGUAAAUGUAAUUAUGUGAAAUAAAAUAUUGAUCUAUUUAAAUGAUUUAUAAUAAACUAACAUUUUUUUUUCCUUUAAGUUAGGGGCUGGAAACGCACUUUAGCCAAUUGGGCAUAAUGGUCAUUGUUGGUGGAAUUGAAAUAUGUAUUAUAAAAAAUGCUUAAUAUUGAAAAUGUGAUAGGGCGACCAAUUCACGAAGAAGAAAUUGAAGAAGAUGACUGAAGAAAUAUUGAAUUUUGUUUAAAAUAAUUAAAUUGGGUACUUUCUUUUUUUAUAAAAUAAUAACUAGAUUUUCUUAUUUUGUUUUAUUGUUCUAUUCAGUUUGCUGCUACAAAUUUGACUGUCGAUGGUAUACCGCGAUUUCGUCACUACCACAUCCCUAGCUCUAAUCGUGUUUUUUCAUAACUAGAUAAAUCCGAAUCUAUUAAAUCAAAACUCUAUAAAUCCUCAUUGCGUUUUUUCAAAGUUGGAUAAAUUGCAUUCCAUUAUAUCAAAUGAAGGUAAAUCCAAACUAAAUAUUAAAUUUUUGAGAGAAUGCGUGAUUUAAAUACUGAAAUGAAUAAACAGGAUCAUUUUCUUCAAUA